UCUCAAAACCCCGGCAUUAUAUUUGCACUCUCACAAUUUAAAAAUCUCGUUUCGGUCCUCAAAAAGACUCGAGAAGAAACCUCUCUCUCGAAACGAAUACAGUUGAAGAUGGGGUGCUGUAACAGCAAGACCGGGGGAGAAUCGGCCGCGAACCGGAUUUCACGGUGGCGAUCGACCGGCAUCGUCGCCUUCAGAGACUGCAAAUUGAAGACUUUUCCCAGCGAAGUUCUUGAGUUGGAUGGAUCUGUACGAACACUUGAUUUAACACACAAUAAAAUAGUUGAUGUUCCCCUGGAAAUCAGUAAAUUAAUCAAUAUGCAGCGUCUGGUUUUAGCUGAUAACCUAAUUGAGCGCCUUCCAAUGAACUUGGGGAAACUUCAGUCUCUUAAAGUCCUCACUCUUGAUAACAAUCGGAUUACUACCUUGCCUGAUGAAUUGGGCUUGCUUGUCAGGCUUGAGCGAUUAUCCAUCUCAGGGAACUUAUUAGCGUGCUUUCCCGAAACAAUAGGGAGCCUGCGCAAUUUAUUGCUGUUAAAUGUGUCGAAUAACAAGCUAAAGUCCCUCCCAGAAUCAAUUGGUAGCUGUUUCAACCUGGAAGAAUUGCAAGCAAAUGGGAACUCCAUUGAAGAUCUGCCUUCAUCAAUUUGCAGUCUCGUUAACCUCAAGUCCCUUUGCUUAAACAACAACAAUGUCCAUCAGAUUCCUCAUAAUUUACUGAGAGACUGCAAAGCCCUGCAGAAUGUCUCUCUUCAUGGCAAUCCCAUUUCAAUGGAUCAGUUCCAACAGAUGGAUGGAUUCCAAGAGUUUGAAGCCCGGAGGAAAAAGAAGUUUGACAAGCAGAUUGAUUCAAAUGUGAUGAUUGGCUCAACUGGUCUUGAUGAGGGAGUUGAUUUGUGACAGUUCCCCUCCGACACUCAUACUCUUUACGUGUCAGGAGCUUCUUAAGGAACCUUCUGUUGAAACUCCAUGAUCAGCCCUUCCCCAUUGAGGCUGUGAUUCAAGCUGUUCAUCUGAUGGGCCCCACCUUGGAUUGGUGAUGGUCCUAAAGUUUCUCUUGUCAAUGUGCUUGAGGAAGCUUGGCAGUGGAAAAGAAUAAGAAAAGAAAAGAAAAACAAAAACAGGAGGCCUUCUUGAAUUUGGGGGUGGUAUAUUUUGUGUAUUCAUGUUUUUUUUUUUUCAUCUUCUCUCGCACUGUUCAAUAUUUACAAUCAUGCAUAUUAUAUCCAGUAUUCAUGUAUUUUGUUUCAAAUACAGAAUAAAAUUAUUCACACAAAGUUAAAGACUGUUAUAAAUGGUUGUUUCCUGUUC